UGGGGAAUUUUGGACAAUGGGGGAAACCCUGAUCCAGCCAUCCCGCGUGUGCGAUGAAGGCCUUCGGGUUGUAAAGCACUUUUGGCAGGAAAGAAACGUCGCGGGUUAAUACCCCGCGAAACUGACGGUACCUGCAGAAUAAGCACCGGCUAACUACGUGCCAGCAGCCGCGGUAAUACGUAGGGUGCAAGCGUUAAUCGGAAUUACUGGGCGUAAAGCGUGCGCAGGCGGUUCGGAAAGAAAGAUGUGAAAUCCCAGAGCUUAACUUUGGAACUGCAUUUUUAACUACCGGGCUAGAGUGUGUCAGAGGGAGGUGGAAUUCCGCGUGUAGCAGUGAAAUGCGUAGAUAUGCGGAGGAACACCGAUGGCGAAGGCAGCCUCCUGGGAUAACACUGACGCUCAUGCACGAAAGCGUGGGGAGCAAACAGGAUUAGAUACCCUGGUAGUCCACGCCCUAAACGAUGUCAACUAGCUGUUGGGGGCCUUCGGGCCUUGGUAGCGCAGCUAACGCGUGAAGUUGACCGCCUGGGGAGUACGGUCGCAAGAUUAAAAACUCAAAUGAAUUGACGGGGGUCAUAGCUGUUUUCCU
rnacentral:rRNA from 1 species